ACCGGCUGGUCAUAGCCUGAUAGGAUAGCCUGCCAUGGCGGAUCAGAGACAGCGCUCGCUCUCCACCUCCGGGGAAUCGCUGUACCACGUUCUCGGGCUGGACAAGAAUGCGACGUCAGAUGACAUCAAGAAGUCCUAUCGGAAACUUGCCUUGAAAUAUCAUCCUGACAAGAACCCCGACAACCCCGAGGCCGCAGAGAAGUUUAAGGAGAUCAACAACGCGCACGCCAUCCUGACGGACGCCACGAAGAGGAACAUCUACGACAAGUACGGCUCGCUGGGGCUGUACGUGGCCGAGCAGUUUGGGGAGGAGAACGUGAACACCUACUUCGUGCUGUCCAGCUGGUGGGCCAAGGCCCUGUUCGUGGUCUGCGGGCUCCUCACCUGCUGCUACUGCUGCUGCUGCCUCUGCUGCUGCUUCAACUGCUGCUGCGGGAAGUGCAAGCCGAAGGCGCCCGAGGGCGAGGACGCCGCCUUCUACGUGUCCCCCGAGGACCUGGAGGCGCAGCUGCAGUCUGACGAGCGGGGCGGGCACUGACUCUGUGCCGGGAGUGUGUGUGGUGGCAGCUGGGACUGUUUGGUGUGAACGUGGACACCGGAGAGGCCACAGACACACCGAUUGUCAUACAGCCGGCGUCCGCCACGGAGACCACCCAGCUCACGGCCGACUCCCACCCCAGCUACCACACCGACGGGUUCAACUAAGCUCAGAGCUGCCGUGAUUAGAGGACGAGUCAGCGCCCG